rnacentral:tRNA from 1 species
CGGCUUGUAGCGUAGCUUGGUCAACGCACCUGCUUAGGGAGCAGGGGACCGCAGGUUCGAAUCCUGUCAAGCCGA